UACGGAGGGUGCAAGCGUUGUCCGGAUUUAUUGGGUUUAAAGGGUGCGUAGGCGGCUUAGUAAGUCAGUGGUGAAAUCCAACAGCUCAACUGUUGCACUGCCAUUGAUACUGCUAGGCUUGAGUACAGACGAGGUAGGCGGAAUUGAUGGUGUAGCGGUGAAAUGCAUAGAUACCAUCAAGAACACCGAUUGCGAAGGCAGCUUACUAGGCUGUAACUGACGCUGAGGCACGAAAGCGUGGGGAGCGAACAGG
rnacentral:rRNA from 1 species